rnacentral:rRNA from 1 species
CCUACGGGAGGCUGCAGUGGGGAAUAUUUGACAAUGGGGGCAACCCUGAUCCAGCCAUGCCGCGUGUGUGAAGAAGGCCCUCGGGUUGUAAAGCACUUUCAGUGAGGAAGAACGCCUGGUGGUUAAUACCCAUCAGGAAAGACAUCACUCACAGAAGAAGCACCGGCUAACUCCGUGCCAGCAGCCGCGGUAAUACGGAGGGGGCGAGCGUUAAUCGGAAUUACUGGGCGUAAAGCGCGCGUAGGUGGCUUGAUAAGCCGGUUGUGAAAGCCCCGGGCUCAACCUGGGAACGGCAUCCAGAACUGUCAAUCUUGAGUGCGGGAGAGGAGGGUAGAAUUCCCGGUGUAGCGGUGAAAUGCGUAGAGAUCGGGAGGAAGACCAGUGGCGAAGGCGGCCUACUGGACUGACACUGACACUGAGGUGCGAAAGCGUGGGUAGCAAACAGGAUUAGAUACCCGAGUAGUC